rnacentral:rRNA from 1 species
ACGCACACUAGACUUGUUUAGGCAAGUCUGGUAAACCCUCUGUGAACUGUUGCACCUCACGGUGUUUUUUACAUUAAGACUGAAUCAAUGAGAUAAAUUAAAAUACAACUUUUAACAACGGAUCUCUUGGCUCUCGCAACGAUGAAGAACGCAGCGAAAUGCGAUACGUAAUGUGAAUUGCAGACCGUGAAUCAUCUAAUCUUUGAACGCAUAUUGCGCUCUUUGGUAUUCCGAAGAGCAUGCCUGUUUGAGAAUCGAUAACAUCAAUCAUCCCUUGAAGGCAGCACUUAAUGUGCUUACUUCUCGGGUUGGACUUGGGUAGCUAUCUUCACCGAUAUCACCUGUAAAAUAGCGUCGACCUUGGCUUUAUUGUUACUUGGAACGUGUUUACUUGACGCAAGUCAUUUGUACUUCCAAUCAACGUUUAAGUGAAGCAAAGUGAGCGACUUAAUACCAUCUACACUAAACGUGUAACCUUGGUCUCAAAUCAGGCAAGAGUACCCGCUGAACUUAAGCAUAUC